rnacentral:rRNA from 1 species
GGUGAACGCAGGCGGUAGGCCUAACACAUGCAAGUCGAACGGCAGCACAGGAGAGCUUGCUCUCUGGGUGGCGAGUGGCGGACGGGUGAGGAAUACAUCGGAAUCUACUCUGUCGUGGGGGAUAACGUAGGGAAACUUACGCUAAUACCGCAUACGACCUACGGGUGAAAGCAGGGGACCUUCGGGCCUUGCGCGAUUGAAUGAGCCGAUGUCGGAUUAGCUAGUUGGCGGGGUAAAGGCCCACCAAGGCGACGAUCCGUAGCUGGUCUGAAAGGAUGAUCAGCCAAACUGGAACUGAGACACGGUCCAGACUCCUACGGGAGGCAGCAGUGGGGAAUAUUGGACAAUGGGCGCAAGCCUGAUCCAGCCAUACCGCGUGGGUGAAGAAGGCCUUCGGGUUGUAAAGCCCUUUUGUUGGGAAAGAAAUCCAGCUGGCUAAUACCCGGUUGGGAUGACGGUACCCAAAGAAUAAGCACCGGCUAACUUCGUGCCAGCCGCCGCCGUAA